GUUACAGCCUUGGAGACUGAAGACCUCUGAUUAUUCACAGAACAGUUAUAGCAUUGGUAGUGGCAACCGAGCUCCUCUCAUUCUGCUGUGCCAAUGUAUUUUGAACCUGUCUUGGAGGGACUGCUUAUAGAGUAAGAGGCUAGUUCAGUCUACAAGUCCAGUCAAUCUUUGGGCCCU
rnacentral:sRNA from 1 species